rnacentral:rRNA from 1 species
UACGUAGGGUGCGAGCGUUGUCCGGAAUUACUGGGCGUAAAGCGCACGUAGGCGGCUUUGCAAGUUAGAGGUGAAAGCCCAGGGCUUAACCCUGGAAUUGCCUUUAAGACUGCAUCGCUCAGAAUCGUGGAGAGGUGAGUGGAAUUCCGAGUGAGAGGUGAAAUUCGUAGAUAUUCGGAAGAACACCAGUGGCGAAGGCGACUCACUGGACACGUAUUGACGCUGAGGUGCGAAAGCGUGGGGAGCAAACAG